UAGGGAAUCUUCCACAAUGGGCGAAAGCCUGAUGGAGCAAUGCCGCGUGAGUGAUGAAGGUUUUCGGAUCGUAAAGCUCUGUUGCCAGGGAAGAACGUUUCGUAGAGUAACUGCUGCGGAAGUGACGGUACCUGAGAAGAAAGCCCCGGCUAACUACGUGCCAG
rnacentral:rRNA from 1 species